rnacentral:rRNA from 1 species
CCUACGGGUGGCUGCAGUGGGGAAUAUUGCACAAUGGGCGCAAGCCUGAUGCAGCCAUGCCGCGUGUGUGAAGAAGGCCUCCGGGUUGUAAAGCACUUUCAGCGGGGAGGAAGGCGGUGAGGUUAAUAACCUCAUCGAUUGACGUUACCCGCAGAAGAAGCACCGGCUAACUCCGUGCCAGCAGCCGCGGUAAUACGGAGGGUGCAAGCGUUAAUCGGAAUUACUGGGCGUAAAGCGCACGCAGGCGGUCUGUCAAGUCGGAUGUGAAAUCCCCGGGCUCAACCUGGGAACUGCAUUCGAAACUGGCAGGCUAGAGUCUUGUAGAGGGGGGUAGAAUUCCAGGUGUAGCGGUGAAAUGCGUAGAGAUCUGGAGGAAUACCGGUGGCGAAGGCGGCCCCCUGGACAAAGACUGACGCUCAGGUGCGAAAGCGUGGGGAGCAAACAGGAUUAGAUACCCGAGUAGUC